rnacentral:tRNA from 1 species
GCCUUCGUGGUGUAGUGGUCAGCACGCUCGGCGCGUAUUCGAGAGGUCCGUGGUUCGAUUCCUGGCUAAGGCG